UGGUUUAUCCUGCCAGUAGUCAUAUGCUUGUCUCAAAGAUUAAGCCAUGCAGGUCUCAGUGCAAGCCGAAUUAAGGUGAAACCGCGAAAAGCUCAUUAAAUCAGCUAUGGUUCCUUAGAUGGUACGUACAGUUACUUGGAUAACUGUGGCAAUUCUAGAGCUAAUACAUGCAAACCGAGUUCCGACCGCUUAGCAGGCGGAAGGAAUGCUUUUAUUAGAUCAAAACCAAUCGGACUCUACACGUAUGGGUUCGUUUAAGUCUUGGUGACUCUGAAUAACUUUGUGCUGAUCGCACGGUCCCGCACCGGCGACGCAUCUUUCAAAUGUCUGACUUAUCAACUUUCGAUGGUAAGCUCUGCGCCUACCAUGGUCGUAACGGGUAACGGGGAAUCAGGGUUCGAUUCCGGAGAGGGAGCCUGAGAAACGGCUACCACAUCCAAGGAAGGCAGCAGGCGCGCAAAUUACCCACUCCCGGCACGGGGAGGUAGUGACGAAAAAUAACGAUGCAGAACUCUUUCCGAGGCUCUGCAA
rnacentral:rRNA from 1 species